rnacentral:rRNA from 1 species
AGUGGCGGACGGGUGAGUAACGCGUGAGAAUCUACCUUCAGGACGGGGACAACAGCUGGAAACGGCUGCUAAUACCCGAUAUGCCGAAAGGUGAAAAGUUAUUUCGCCUGGAGAGGAGCUCGCGUCCGAUUAGCUAGUUGGUGGGGUAAAAGCUUACCAAGGCAACGAUUGGUAGCUGGUCUGAGAGGAUGAGCAGCCACACUGGAACUGAGACACGGUCCAGACUCCUACGGGAGGCAGCAGUGGGGAAUUUUCCGCAAUGGGCGAAAGCCUGACGGAGCAACGCCGCGUGGGGGAAGAAGGUUUUUGGAUUGUAAACCCCUUUUCUCAAGGAAGAACAAAAUGACGGUACUUGAGGAAUCAGCCUCGGCUAACUCCGUGCCAGCAGCCGCGGUAAUACGGAGGAGGCAAGCGUUAUCCGGAAUUAUUGGGCGUAAAGCGUUCGUAGGCGGCUGUUCAAGUCUGCUGUCAAAGACCGAGGCUCAACCUCGGGUCGGCAGUGGAAACUGGAUAGCUAGAGGUCGGUAGGGGCAGAGGGAAUUCCCAGUGUAGCGGUGAAAUGCGUAGAUAUUGGGAAGAACACCGGUGGCGAAAGCGCUCUGCUGGGCCGAACCUGACGCUGAGGGACGAAAGCUAGGGGAGCGAAUGGGAUUAGAUACCCC